rnacentral:miRNA from 1 species
UUUUGCAAUGUUUCACGGUCGGU